rnacentral:rRNA from 1 species
AAAAGUCGUAACAAGGUUUCCGUAGGUGAACCUGCGGAAGGAUCAUUAUCGUUAAAUCGAGGCGUGAGGGCUGUCGCUGACCUUCCCCGGUCGUGCACGCCCGAGCCCUCUCACAAUCCAUCUCACCCUUUGUGCAUCACCGCGUGGGUCCCCCUUUGCCGGAGGGCCCGCGUCUUUACACAAAACUCGAUACAGUGUAGAAUGUUUAUUUUCGCGCUCGCACGCGAUCAAUAAUACAACUUUCAACAACGGAUCUCUUGGCUCUCGCAUCGAUGAAGAACGCAGCGAAAUGCGAUACGUAAUGUGAAUUGCAGAAUUCAGUGAAUCAUCGAAUCUUUGAACGCACCUUGCGCCCCUUGGCAUUCCGAGGGGCACACCCGUUUGAGUGUCGUGAAAUCUUCAAAAACCCUCUCUUUUGAGGGGGAUUUUUGGACUUGGAGGUUCAAUGCUCGCUUUCGCCUUUUAGAAAGCGAGCUCCUCUCAAACGAAUCAGUGGGGUCUGCUUUGCCGGUCCUUGACGUGAUAAGAUCUUUCUACGUUUUGGAUUCGACAUCGUCCCGCUUCCAAUCGUCCCACGGACAAAGGAUGGUGCUCCGGUCGCGGCCGGACCCACCAAAAAUUCCUUGACCUCAAAUCGGGUGAGACUACCCGCUGAACUUAAGCAUAUCAAUAAGCGGAGGA